rnacentral:rRNA from 1 species
UACGGAGGGGGCAAGAGUUGUUCGGAUUUACUGGGCGUAAAGGGCGCGUAGGCGGCGCGUAAAGUCGGACAUGAAAUCAUUAGGCUCAACCUAAUGCCUGUGUCCGAUAGUGACGUGCUUGGAGUGCGGGAGAGGCAGCCGGAAUUCUCGGGGUAGCGGUGAAAUGCGUAGAUAUCGAGAGGAAAACCGGUGACGAACGUGGGUUGCUGGACCGACACUGACGCUGAGGCGCGAAAGCUAGGGGAGCAAACGGG